AGCUCCAGGCCGGUUCUAAACUCCAAUGAAUUCAAUUAACUUGAUUGCUAACGUGUGCUGAGAUGCAGGGCGCACAGGCUGGCCACCACCUGAGUCCCUCCUUUCUCCAGCGGUGGAGCCGGGAGACCACGCUUUGUGGACAUCCCUGAUUCCCGCACUAGUUACUAGGAUCCCCCCUCUUUGCGAUCACACUCCCCGUAGAGUGUUCCGCUGAGCUCUGGACCCCUCUUGCAAACUCGAUUAAGCCUUGAAAGGCUGGAUUCUUGCUCCUUAUCACCUAUCUAGAACAAUAAUGACCAAGUCAAAACAGAAAAGUCCAAUCAACCGGGAGCGUUGAUUUUCAACACGUCGCGCGCAGGGUGUGGUGUGGCGGGGGUUGAGGGGAUGUGAUUAGAGGUCAAACAAGUAUUUUGCAAUAUCAAGUAAUCAACCAAAACCAGUCCUCCGGGGCCGGCCGACCUGCAAAGUACUACCCGUUUCCGUUCCCCACCCCCACCCCUACCCCCAUCCCACCCAGACAGGCGGUUGCACCUCAGGCCAGCAUUUCCUUGGGCUAAAGACUUCAGGUCGCUCAGGGAGAAGCAGUAUCAGUUUUCCCCCCCUACAAACCCUCAGGGCUUCGUUCAGCCUUUGAACCCUGCGUUGAGUGAUUCCACUCUUCAAGAACUGGCUUAAAUUUUAGAGCAUAAUUUCAUCUCACUUAAUCAGAUCCUUGCUUCUGGAGUUUUUAGUUUUAGGGUAGUUUUUAAAUGCUAAACCACAAUUUAAAAGAUAGACUAAAUUUAACCUAGGUGCUCUUGCCUAUCACGCGGAUUACGCAAAUCUAGGGGUGGAGUGGAAAUUGUGGAGGUAGAGUGUUCAGCUGUGGGACCCCACGGAGACCCUUAACCUCAGCUCUAAACUUUCAUGAAUGUGAUAUGUAAUGCAGGAUUGCGGGCCAUUCCUCAGUUGUAUUUAACUCUUCCUCUGCUAUUAGUCCAAACAGUGAGAACUUUUGGUAAAACUGGGUCUCUUUAUUAA